rnacentral:rRNA from 1 species
AACGAACGCUGGCGGCAGGCCUAACACAUGCAAGUCGAACGCUGCAGCAAUGCAGAGUGGCAGACGGGUGAGUAACGCGUGGGAACCUUCCCAAUGGUACGGAAUAGCCCAGGGAAACUUGGGGUAAUACCGUAUAAGCCCCAUGGGGGAAAGAUUUAUCGCCAUUGGAUGGGCCCGCGUCGGAUUAGCUAGUUGGUGAGGUAACGGCUCACCAAGGCGACGAUCCGUAGCUGGUUUGAGAGAAUGACCAGCCACACUGGGACUGAGACACGGCCCAGACUCCUACGGGAGGCAGCAGUGGGGAAUCUUGGACAAUGGGCGAAAGCCUGAUCCAGCAAUGCCGCGUGAGUGAUGAAGGCCUUAGGGUUGUAAAGCUCUUUUACCCGGGAUGAUAAUGACAGUACCGGGAGAAUAAGCUCCGGCUAACUCCGUGCCAGCCGCCGCGGUAA